rnacentral:rRNA from 1 species
ACACGUAAACAACCUGCCUUCAGGAUGGGGACAACAGACGGAAACGACUGCUAAUACCGAAUAAGUUCCAAGAGCCGCAUGGCCCAUGGAAGAAAAGGUGGCCUCUACCUGUAAGCUAUCGCCUGAAGAGGGGUUUGCGUCUGAUUAGCUGGUUGGAGGGGUAACGGCCCACCAAGGCGACGAUCAGUAGCCGGUCUGAGAGGAUGAACGGCCACAUUGGGACUGAGACACGGCCCAAACUCCUACAGGAGGCAGCAUG